rnacentral:ribozyme from 1 species
AUAAUAGAUCAAAAGAAAAAAAGCAGUAAAAUACACCUAAAUAAAGUUUGAUUAUUCGGUCGAUUUGCUUUGUUUAAUUUUAUUUUCCAGUGAUCUUU